CCUACGGGGGGCUGCAGUAGGGAAUCUUCCGCAAUGGACGAAAGUCUGACGGAGCAACGCCGCGUGAGCGAAGAAGGUCUUCGGAUCGUAAAGCUCUGUUGUUAGGGAAGAACAAGUACGGGAGGAAAUGACCGUACCUUGACGGUACCUGACGAGGAAUCCACGGCUAACUACGUGCCAGCAUCCGCGGUAAUACGUAUGUGGCAAGCGUUGUCCGGAAGUAUCUGGCGUAAAGCGCGCGCAGGCGGUCUUUUGAGUCUGAUGUGAAAUCUUGCGGCUCAACCGCAAGCGGGCGUUGGAAUCUGGGAGAGUUGGGGGCAGAAGAGGCAAGCGGAAUUCCACGUGUAGCGGUGAAAUGCGUAGAGAUGUGGAGGAACACCAGUGGCGAAGGCGGCUUUCUGGUCUGUAACUGACGCUGAGGCGCGAAAGCGUGGGGAGCAAACAGGAUUAGAUACCCGUGUAGUC
rnacentral:rRNA from 1 species